rnacentral:rRNA from 1 species
AUGACAAGGCAAGAUGGCAUCAAUAGUCCCGGUGGCGAGAUCUACCUAGGAGAUGCUGACUAUGGAUCUCGCACUGGUGUUCUUCAACCCUUCAGGAAAACCAGGUACCAUCUAAACGCGUUCUUUUCUAGGAAUGCACAAGAAUUGUUCAAUUUCAGACACUCCAACCUUAGAAUCAUGGUUGAGAGGACAUUUGGAGCUCUCGAGAAUUGAUUUAGGAUCCUAGAUUAGAAGUCAUUCCACCCUUACCUCACUCAAGUUAAGCUUGUUCUUGCUUGGUGCAUUUUGCAUAACUGGAUCCUACAAUGGGGUUUUGAUGAGCUGGUGCCGGAGGAGGAAGAUGUGACAGCCAAUGAUGAUCACUCCGGUCAUGGUGUGGAGGCACGUGACAAUGAAGUUUGGAAGAGCAAAAUGUUGGAAUGGGCUGAGACAAUAUGGGCAAAUAGAGGAACUACAAAGAUCUAA